GCCGGCGUAGCUCAGCGGCAGAGCAGCGGAUUCGUAAUCCGCAGGUCAGGGGUUCAAAUCCCCUCGCCGGCUCCA
rnacentral:tRNA from 1 species